AUGCCAGUUCCGAUGAAGCUCGAAGGUAUUCAAGUUUUAUUUUGCCAUUUUUAUGCAAGUUAUGGACAAAUUUGGACAGGGGCGACAAGGAUGAUUUUGGACAGCAGCAUGGGGCAGCAGCAGCAGGUUGGUUUUGGAGUGUUAUGGGCAGCAGUGUGGACAAGGUUAGCAGGACAGUUUAAAUUGGUUUUGUAUGUGCAGGUUGCUUCAAGUCUCUGUAAAGUUUGGUUUGGAACUUGA